rnacentral:rRNA from 1 species
AGAUUGAACGCUGGCGGCAGGCCUAACACAUGCAAGUCGAGCGGCAGCACGGGUACUUGUACCUGGUGGCGAGCGGCGGACGGGUGAGUAAUGCCUAGGAAUCUGCCUGGUAGUGGGGGAUAACGCUCGGAAACGGACGCUAAUACCGCAUACGUCCUACGGGAGAAAGCAGGGGACCUUCGGGCCUUGCGCUAUCAGAUGAGCCUAGGUCGGAUUAGCUAGUUGGUGAGGUAAUGGCUCACCAAGGCGACGAUCCGUAACUGGUCUGAGAGGAUGAUCAGUCACACUGGAACUGAGACACGGGUCCAGACUCCUACGGGAGCAGCAGUGGGGAAUAUUGACAAUGGGACAAAGCCUGAUCCAGCCA